GAUGAACGCUGGCGGCGUGCCUAAUACAUGCAAGUCGAGCGAACAGACGAGGAGCUUGCUCCUCUGACGUUAGCGGCGGACGGGUGAGUAACACGUGGAUAACCUACCUAUAAGACUGGGAUAACUUCGGGAAACCGGAGCUAAUACCGGAUAAUAUAUUGAACCGCAUGGUUCAAUAGUGAAAGACGGUUUUGCUGUCACUUAUAGAUGGAUCCGCGCCGCAUUAGCUAGUUGGUAAGGUAACGGCUUACCAAGGCAACGAUGCGUAGCCGACCUGAGAGGGUGAUCGGCCACACUGGAACUGAGACACGGUCCAGACUCCUACAGGAGGCAGCAGUAGGGAAUCUUCCGCAAUGGGCGAACGCCUGACGGAGCAACGACGCGUGAGUGAUGAAGGUCUUCGGAUCGUAAAACUCUGUUAUUAGGGAAGAACAAAUGUGUAAGUAACUAUGCACGUCUUGACGGUACCUAAUCAGAAAGCCACGGCUAACUACGUG
rnacentral:rRNA from 1 species